CCUGGGGGAGCAUUUUAUCCACGUCAGCACAAAGCGCAUCCUAAAGAAAGCGUUUUGUACUGACAUGGACAAAAUGCUCCCCCUGGG
rfam:Gossypium hirsutum cultivar TM-1 chromosome 12, whole genome shotgun sequence